CGGGACACGUGGUAUCCUGUCUGAAUAUGGGGGGACCAUCCUCCAAGGCUAAAUACUCCUGACUGACCGAUAGUGAACCAGUACCGUGAGGGAAAGGCGAAAAGAACCCCGGCGAGGGGAGUGAAAAAGAACCUGAAACCGUGUACGUACAAGCAGUGGGAGCACGCUUAGGCGUGUGACUGCGUACCUUUUGUAUAAUGGGUCAGCGACUUAUAUUCUGUAGCAAGGUUAACCGAAUAGGGGAGCCGAAGGGAAACCGAGUCUUAACUGGGCGUUAAGUUGCAGGGUAUAGACCCGAAACCCGGUGAUCUAGCCAUGGGCAGGUUGAAGGUUGGGUAACACUAACUGGAGGACCGAACCGACUAAUGUUGAAAAAUUAGCGGAUGACUUGUGGCUGGGGGUGAAAGGCCAAUCAAACCGGGAGAUAGCUGGUUCUCCCCGAAAGCUAUUUAGGUAGCGCCUCGUGAAUUCAUCUCCGGGGGUAGAGCACUGUUUCGGCAAGGGGGUCAUCCCGACUUACCAACCCGAUGCAAACUGCGAAUACCGGAGAAUGUUAUCACGGGAGACACACGGCGGGUGCUAACGUCCGUCGUGAAGAGGGAAACAACCCAGACCGCCAGCUAAGGUCCCAAAGUCAUGGUUAAGUGGGAAACGAUGUGGGAAGGCCCAGACAGCCAGGAUGUUGGCUUAGAAGCAGCCAUCAUUUAAAGAAAGCGUAAUAGCUCACUGGUCGAGUCGGCCUGCGCGGAAGAUGUAACGGGGCUAAACCAUGCACCGAAGCUGCGGCAGCGACGCUGAUGCGUUGUUGGGUAGGGGAGCGUUCUGUAAGCCUGUGAAGGUGUGCUGUGAGGCAUGCUGGAGGUAUCAGAAGUGCGAAUGCUGACAUAAGUAACGAUAAAGCGGGUGAAAAGCCCGCUCGCCGGAAGACCAAGGGUUCCUGUCCAACGUUAAUCGGGGCAGGGUGAGUCGACCCCUAAGGCGAGGCCGAAAGGCGUAGUCGAUGGGAAACAGGUUAAUAUUCCUGUACUUGGUGUUACUGCGAAGGGGGGACGGAGAAGGCUAUGUUGGCCGGGCGACGGUUGUCCCGGUUUAAGCGUGUAGGCUGGUUUUCCAGGCAAAUCCGGAAAAUCAAGGCUGAGGCGUGAUGACGAGGCACUACGGUGCUGAAGCAACAAAUGCCCUGCUUCCAGGAAAAGCCUCUAAGCAUCAGGUAACAUCAAAUCGUACCCCAAACCGACACAGGUGGUCAGGUAGAGAAUACCAAGGCGCUUGAGAGAACUCGGGUGAAGGAACUAGGCAAAAUGGUGCCGUAACUUCGGGAGAAGGCACGCUGAUAUGUAGGUGAAGCGACUUGCUCGUGGAGCUGAAAUCAGUCGAAGAUACCAGCUGGCUGCAACUGUUUAUUAAAAACACAGCACUGUGCAAACACGAAAGUGGACGUAUACGGUGUGACGCCUGCCCGGUGCCGGAAGGUUAAUUGAUGGGGUCAGCGCAAGCGAAGCUCUUGAUCGAAGCCCCGGUAAACGGCGGCCGUAACUAUAACGGUCCUAAGGUAGCGAAAUUCCUUGUCGGGUAAGUUCCGACCUGCACGAAUGGCGUAAUGAUGGCCAGGCUGUCUCCACCCGAGACUCAGUGAAAUUGAACUCGCUGUGAAGAUGCAGUGUACCCGCGGCAAGACGGAAAGACCCCGUGAACCUUUACUAUAGCUUGACACUGAACAUUGAGCCUUGAUGUGUAGGAUAGGUGGGAGGCUUUGAAGUGUGGACGCCAGUCUGCAUGGAGCCGGCCUUGAAAUACCACCCUUUAAUGUUUGAUGUUCUAACGUUGACCCGUGAUCCGGGUUGCGGACAGUGUCUGGUGGGUAGUUUGACUGGGGCGGUCUCCUCCUAAAGAGUAACGGAGGAGCACGAAGGUUGGCUAAUCCUGGUCGGACAUCAGGAGGUUAGUGCAAUGGCAUAAGCCAGCUUGACUGCGAGCGUGACGGCGCGAGCAGGUGCGAAAGCAGGUCAUAGUGAUCCGGUGGUUCUGAAUGGAAGGGCCAUCGCUCAACGGAUAAAAGGUACUCCGGGGAUAACAGGCUGAUACCGCCCAAGAGUUCAUAUCGACGGCGGUGUUUGGCACCUCGAUGUCGGCUCAUCACAUCCUGGGGCUGAAGUAGGUCCCAAGGGUAUGGCUGUUCGCCAUUUAAAGUGGUACGCGAGCUGGGUUUAGAACGUCGUGAGACAGUUCGGUCCCUAUCUGCCGUGGGCGCUGGAGAACUGAGGGGGGCUGCUCCUAGUACGAGAGGACCGGAGUGGACGCAUCACUGGUGUUCGGGUUGUC
rnacentral:rRNA from 1 species